GCCCCUAAUUCAUGGCUAAGUGGGAAAGCAGGUGGGACGACCAAAACAACCAGGAUGUUGGCUUAGAAGCAGCCAUCAUUUAAAGAUAGCGUAACAGCUCACUGGUCUAAUUAAGUUAUCCUGCGGCGAAGAUGUACCGGGGCUCAAGCCAUGAGCCGAAGCUUAGGACACCGCAAGGUGUGGUAGCGGAGCGUUCUGUGAUAUAGAACGCUGCCUCUUUAGUAACUUAGGUUAUUACGGAGGCAAUGUUCUGACUGUGAAGCCGGCCUGUGAGGGAUCCGGUGGAGUGAUCAGAAGUGAGAAUGUUGACAUGAGUAGCGACAAAGAGGGUGAGAGACCCUCUCGCCGAAAAUCCAAGGGUUCCUGCUUAAAGCUAAUCUGAGCAGGGUAAGCCGACCCCUAAGUCGAGGCCGAAAGGCGUAGACGAUGGGAACCAGGUUAAUAUUCCUGGGCCAGGAGGAUGUGACGGAUUGUGAAGGUUGUUUCCCCUUAUUGGAUUGGGGAGGCCGCUGAUCAGUUCCUGGAAAUAGCCCUCCAUGAGAUCGUACCCUAAACCGACACAGGUGGAUAGGUAGAGAAUACCAAGGCGCUUGAGAGAACUACGUUGAAGGAACUCGGCAAAAUACCUCCGUAAGUUCGCGAGAAGGAGGCCCAGUUUCUACGCAAGUAUUGGCUGGGGGCACAAACCAGGGGGUGGCGACUGUUUACUAAAAACACAGGGCUCUGCGAAGUCGCAAGACGACGUAUAGGGUCUGACGCCUGCCCGGUGCCUGAAGGUUAAAAGGAGGGGUGAGAGCUCCGAAUUGAAGCCCAGGUAAACGGCGGCCGUAACUAUAACGGUCCUAAGGUAGCGAAAUUCCUUGUCGGGUAAGUUCCGACCUGCACGAAUGGCGUAACGACUUCCCCGCUGUCUCCAACAUAGACUCAGUGAAAUUGAAUUGCCUGUCAAGAUGCAGGCUUCCCGCGGUUAGACGGAAAGACCCCGUGCACCUUUACUACAACUUUACACUGAUAACAGGCACAACAUGUGCAGAAUAGGUGGUAGGCUUUGAAGCAGAAACGCCAGUUUUUGUGGAGCCUCCUUUGAGAUACCACCCUUGUUUUGCUUGUUAUCUAACUGCGGUCCGUUAUCCGGAUCCAGGACCCUGUAUGGUGGGUAGUUUGACUGGGGCGGUCGCCUCCUAAAGCGUAACGGAGGCGCGCGAAGGUUGGCUCAGAGCGGUCGGAAAUCGCUCGUUGAGUGCAAUGGCAGAAGCCAGCCUGACUGCGAGACUGACAAGUCGAGCAGAGUCGAAAGACGGCCAUAGUGAUCCGGUGGUCCCGAGUGGAAGGGCCAUCGCUCAACGGAUAAAAGGUA
rnacentral:rRNA from 1 species